CCUACGGGUGGCAGCAGUGAGGAAUAUUGGUCAAUGGGCGUAAGCCUGAACCAGCCAAGUCGCGUGAGGGAUGAAGGUUCUAUGGAUCGUAAACCUCUUUUAUAUGGGAAUAAAAUGUUCCACGUGUGGGAUUUUGUAUGUACCAUAUGAAUAAGGAUCGGCUAACUCCGUGCCAGCAGCCGCGGUAAUACGGAGGAUCCGAGCGUUAUCCGGAUUUAUUGGGUUUAAAGGGAGCGUAGGUGGAUUGUUAAGUCAGUUGUGAAAGUUUGCGGCUCAACCGUAAAAUUGCAGUUGGAACUGGCAGUCUUGAGUACAGUAGAGGUGGGCGGAAUUCGUGGUGUAGCGGUGAAAUGCUUAGAUAUCACGAAGAACUCCGAUUGCGAAGGCAGCUCACUGGACUGCAACUGACACUGAGGCUCGAAAGUGUGGGUAUCAAACAGGAUUAGAUACCCUGGUAGUC
rnacentral:rRNA from 1 species